rnacentral:lncRNA from 1 species
AGCUUAAACACGCAAUGUAGUUGUCAAGUAAGUAAAUUGAUUAGGGGCUAGGGAUUAAGGGUUGAUGAAAAUGGAGGGGGAUAUUUCUCAAUAUUCUUUGAUGCAGGGCACCCCUUUUAGCUGUUUGAAUUUUGAAGGAUCUUGCUCAAGAAUAUUUGGUGGUGAGGUUGAGGUUGAUAAAAUUCUUUCAUUAUUUAUAGAUGAACAACAAUAUAUUAACACUAAUGGGGAUGUGAAUUUCUUACCAUUACAGAUGAUGAUGAUGAUGAUGAUGAUGAUGAUGAUGAUGAUGAUGAUGAUGCUCAAUGUCUGGCCCUUUGUUAAGCUUGCACUGGAAAAGCAUAGACAAUGGGUUUGUGGUUACCCCCCAUUUAUGCACAUGAUAUAAAGUU